rnacentral:rRNA from 1 species
ACACGUCAUACAAUGGUCGGUACAAGGAGGGUUGCCAACCCGCGAGGGGGAGCUAAUCCCACAAAGCCGAUCGUAGUCCGGAUCGCAGUCUGCAACUCGACUGCGUGAAGUCGGAAUCGCUAGUAAUCGUGGAUCAGCAUGUCACGGUGAAUACGUUCCCGGGUCUU